rnacentral:snoRNA from 1 species
AGAGGAAGGAAGUAUGGUAAUGUGCAUGGAGAUUGACUUGGUCUGCAUGUCUGCUCGCCCUGACGCCUUUGGGCUUUGAUCUCGCGGGCCUGGAUUUGACCCAUACUC